rnacentral:rRNA from 1 species
ACGAACGCUGGCGGCGUGCUUCACACAUGCAAGUCGAACGGUGAAGCGCCUUCCUUUUUGGUGGGUGUGGAUGAGUGGCGAACGGGUGAGUAACACGUGAGUAACCUGCCCCCUUCUUCUGGAUAACCGCAUGAAAGUGUGGCUAAUACGGGAUAUUCUGGGUCUGUCGCAUGAUGGGUCUGGGAAAGAUAUUGUUUCGGUGGGGGAUGGGCUCGCGGCCUAUCAGCUUGUUGGUGGGGUGAUGGCCUACCAAGGCGGUGACGGGUAGCCGGCCUGAGAGGGUGGACGGCCACACUGGGACUGAGACACGGCCCAGACUCCUACGGGAGGCAGCAGUGGGGAAUAUUGCACAAUGGGCGCAAGCCUGAUGCAGCGACGCCGCGUGAGGGAUGGAGGCCUUCGGGUUGUGAACCUCUUUCGCCAGUGAAGCAGGCCUGCCUCGUUUGUGGGUGGGUUGACGGUAGCUGGAUAAGAAGCGCCGGCUAACUACGUG